AUGGUAAGGUAACGGCUUACCAUGGCUACGAUGUCUAGGGGUUCUGAGAGGAAGGUCCCCCACACUGGAACUGAGACACGGUCCAGACUCCUACGGGAGGCAGCAGUGAGGAAUAUUGGACAAUGGAUGGAAAUCUGAUCCAGCCAUGCCGCGUGCAGGAAGACGGCCCUAUGGGUUGUAAACUGCUUUUGUAUGGGAGCAAUAAGGGCUACGUGUAGUCCGAUGAGAGUACCAUACGAAUAAGCACCGGCUAACUCCGUGCCAGCAGCCGCGGUAAUACGGAGGGUGCAAGCGUUAUCCGGAUUUAUUGGGUUUAAAGGGUGCGUAGGCGGUUUGAUAAUUCAGCGGUGAAAUAUUUCAGCUUAACUGGAAGGGUGCCGUUGAUACUGUCGAGCUUGAAUUUAUUUGCUGUGGGUGGAAUGUGUGGUGUAGCGGUGAAAUGCAUAGAUAUCACACAGAAUAUCGAUUGCGAAGGCAGCUCACAAAGCUAAUAUUGACGCUGAUGCACGAAAGUGUGGGGAUCAAACAGGAUUAGAUACCCCAGGUAGUCCACACUGUAAACGAUGAUAACUCGCUGUCGGCGAUACCAUUCGGUGGCCAAGCGAAACCGAUAAUUUAUCCACCCUGGGGAGUACGACCGCAAGGUUGAUACUCAAAAGGAUUUGACGGGGGGCCCCGCAACAGGCGGAGGAACAUGUGGUUUAAUUCCAAUGAUACGGCGAGGAACCUUAACCUGUGCUUCGAACGGUGCAUGAAAAAUCAAUAAAUGGUUUAAAUCCUUCGGGACUUGUUAAUCAAGGGGUCUGCAAUG
rnacentral:rRNA from 1 species